AUUGAACGCUGGCGGCAUGCUUUACACAUGCAAGUCGAACGGUAACAGGCCUUCGGGUGCUGACGAGUGGCGAACGGGUGAGUAAUGCAUCGGAACGUGCCCAGAGGUGGGGGAUAACGCAGCGAAAGCUGUGCUAAUACCGCAUGUGAUCUGAGGAUGAAAGCGGGGGACCAGGCAGCAAUGUUUGGCCUCGCGCCUUUGGAGCGGCCGAUGUCAGAUUAGGUAGUUGGUGGGGUAAAGGCCUACCAAGCCGACGCUCUGUAGCUGGUCUGAGAGGACGACCAGCCACACUGGGACUGAGACACGGCCCAGACUCCUACGGGAGGCAGCAGUGGGGAAUUUUGGACAAUGGGCGCAAGCCUGAUCCAGCAAUGCCGCGUGCGGGAAGAAGGCCUUCGGGUUGUAAACCGCUUUUGUACGGAACGAAAAGGCUCUGGCUAAUACCUGGGGCUGAUGACGGUACCGUAAGAAUAAGCACCGGCUAACUACGUG
rnacentral:rRNA from 1 species